rnacentral:lncRNA from 12 species
CCCCCCCCCCCCCCCCCCCCCCCCCCCCCCCCCCCCCGACAGGUCAUAUCGCCAUGGGGACACGGUCAUAUCACGAUAGGGACAGGUCAUAUCGCCAUGGGGACACGGUCAUAUCGCGAUAGGGACGGGUCAUAUCGCGACAGGGACACGGCUCUAUCGCCAUGGGGACAUGGUUAUAUCGCGAUAGGGGCAGGUCAUAUCGCGACAGGGGCAGGUCAUAUCACGAUAGGGGAAGGUCAUAUCGCAACAGGGACAGGUCGUAUCGCGACAGGGACAGGUCAUAUCGCGAUAGGGGAAGGUCAUAUCGCGAUAGGGGCGGGUCAUAUCGCAACAGGGACAGGUCGUAUCGCGACAGGGGCAGGUCAUAUCGCGACAGGGGCGGGUCGUAUCGCGACAGGGGCAGGUCAUAUCGCGAUAGGGACACGGUCAUAUCGCGACACCUGCGGCAGGUGCGAUGUCGGACCCCGCCCCCGAGGACGGCCCCGCCCCCCGGGACGCCCCCGGGCCGCUGGCGCUGCUCAAGGCGCGGGCGCUCGACGUCACCUUCGAGGUGGGCGACGAGUACGAGAUCAUCGAGACCAUCGGCACCGGCGCCUACGGCGUGGUCAGCUCGGCGCGGCGGCGGGACACAGGUGGGGGACACCUGGGGUGCACCUGGGAUACACCUGGGGGACACCUGGGCACACCUGGACACACCUGGGCACACCUGGGAUACACCUGGGGGACACCUGGGAUACACCUGGGCACACCUGGGAUACACCUGGGAUACACCCGGGCACACCUGGGCACACCUGGACACACCUGGACGCACCUGGGGGACACCUGCCUGGACACACCUGGGAUACACCUGGACACACCUGGGCACACCUGGGGUGCACCUGAGAUACACCUGGGAUACACCUGGGAUACACCCGGGCACACCUGGGGCACACCUGGACACACCUGGGCACAGCUGGGAUACACCUGGGGAUAUGCAGUGACACAUCGGGCAGAGCUGAGGGUACCUGGGGUACCUGGGGUACACCUGGAGGUAUCCACUGAUACACCUGGGCACACCUGAGAUAGAGCUGGGGAUACCUGGGACACCUGGGGAUACCUGGGGAUGUCCAAUGAUACACCUGGGACACACCUGGACACAUCUGGGGACACCUGGGGAUAUCCAGUGGUACACCUGGGCACACCUGGGCCACACCUGGGGACACCUGGGAUACACCUGGGGACACCUGGGAUACACCUGGGCCCCCCCCCCCCCCCCCCCCCCCCCCCCCCCCCCCCCCCCCCCCCCCCCCCCCCCCCCCCCCCCCCCCCCCCCCC